rnacentral:tRNA from 4 species
GCGGAAGUAGCUCAGUUGGUAGAGCGUCAGCCUUCCAAGCUGAAUGUCGCCGGUUCGAACCCGGUCUUCCGCU